rnacentral:rRNA from 1 species
CCUAACACAUGCAAGUCAAGCGGUAACAGAAAGAAAGCUUGCUUUCUUUGCUGACGAGCGGCGGACGGGUGAGUAAUGCCUGGGAAUAUGCCUUAGUGUGGGGGAUAACUAUUGGAAACGAUAGCUAAUACCGCAUAAUGUCCUUGUUCAUUACGAGCGGGACCAAAGAGGGGGACCUUCGGGCCUCUCGCGCUAAGAUUAGCCCAGGUGGGAUUAGCUAGUUGGUGAGGUAAAGGCUCACCAAGGCAACGAUCCCUAGCUGGUCUGAGAGGAUGAUCAGCCACACUGGAACUGAGACACGGUCCAGACUCCUACGGGAGGCAGCAGUGGGGAAUAUUGCACAAUGGGGGAAACCCUGAUGCAGCCAUGCCGCGCGUAUGAAGAAGGCCUUCGGGUUGUAAAGUACUUUCAGUCGUGAGGAAGGCAUUGUAGUUAAUAGCUGCAGUGCUUGACGUUAGCGACAGAAGGAGCACCGGCUAACUCCGUG